rnacentral:sRNA from 1 species
CUCAAGGACACUUUACUAUGGCCUCAUAAAACAAACACUAAACCAACCAUUAAACUGCGGUUCCGCAGCCACUGAAAAUGACUGAGGGAUGGGCCAGCAGACAUCCUCCGCCAGCUCACUCCUACCCCAGCCCCGAGCCUCCCUCCCGGCCUCUGUCCACCCUCCACCCUUGUCCUUGACCUCCCUUGCCUUCCCCUUGCUCUGACCGCUCCCAUCCUCUCUCAUCCCUGACCAAGGCGGCCUCCCGAGUAUGGGUGGAGAGUGGAGUGGGAUGGACAGAGCAUGUCUGCGGGGCACAUCCCCGAGACCCAGUAGCUCCCAUCUGCAGGCAGCGGGGCCGCCCUCUCCCUGCCCCAAGGCAGGCCACGCUCAUUUCUCUUUCCCCUUGUACUUGUAGCCUCCAGAGGUGAAGUCCCCAGUGGAGCCUAUGGCUACUCUUACAUGCCCAGCGGGGCCUAUGUCUAUCCCCCGCCAGUCGCCAAUGGAAUGUACCCCUGCCCUCCUGGCUACCCCUAUCCACCGCCCCCGCCUGAGUUCUAUCCAGGACCCCCCAUGAUGGACGGGGCCAUGGGAUACGUGCAGCCCCCACCACCACCCUACCCUGGGCCCAUGGAACCUCCGGUCAGCGGCCCCGAUGUCCCCUCCACUCCUGCAGCCGAAGCCAAGGCCGCAGAAGCAGCUGCCAGCGCCUAUUACAACCCGGGCAAUCCUCACAACGUCUACAUGCCCACGAGCCAGCCGCCACCA